GACAGAGGAUGCAAGCGUUAUCCGGAAUGAUUGGGCGUAAAGCGUCUGUAGGUGGCUUUUUAAGUCUGCCGUCAAAUCCCAGGGCUUAACCCUGGACAGGCGGUGGAAACUACCAAGCUGGAGUACGGUAGGGGCAGGGGGAAUUUCCGGUGGAGCGGUGAAAUGCGUAGAGAUCGGAAAGAACACCAACGGCGAAAGCACUCUGCUGGGACGACACUGACACUGAGAGACGAAAGCUAGGGGAGCGAAUGGG
rnacentral:rRNA from 1 species